rnacentral:rRNA from 1 species
CGACGCGGCCACGCCGUAAAACACCCAACUUCUGAACGUUGACCUCGAAUCAGGUAGGACUACCCGCUGAACUUAAGCAUAUCAAUA